GUGUCAGCCGCCGCGGUAAUACGUAGGCAGCAAGCGUUGUUCGGAGUUACUGGGCGUAAAGAGUGUGUAGGCGGUUCUCUAAGUUUGGUGUGAAAUCUCCCGGCUUAACUGGGAGGGUGCGCCGAAAACUGGAGGGCUUGAGUGCGGGAGAGGAGAGCGGAAUUCCUGGUGUAGCGGUGAAAUGCGUAGAUAUCAGGAGGAACACCUGCGGUGUAGACGGCUCUCUGGACCGCCACUGACGCUGAGACACGAAAGCGUGGGUAGCAAACAGGAUUAGAAACCCGUGUAGUCC
rnacentral:rRNA from 1 species